rnacentral:rRNA from 1 species
UACGGAGGGUGCAAGCGUUAUCCGGAUUUACUGGGUUUAAAGGGUGCGUAGGUGGUCUAGUAAGUCAGCGGUGAAAGCCCAGAGCUUAACUCUGGAAUUGCCAUUGAUACUGCUAGGCUUGAGUACAGUUGAGGUGGGCGGAAUAUGUCAUGUAGCGGUGAAAUGCUUAGAUAUGACAUAGAACACCAAUUGCGAAGGCAGCUUGCUAAACUGUAACUGACACUGAGGCACGAAAGCGUGGGGAUCAAACAGGAUUAGAUACCCUGGUAGUCCACGCCCUAAACGAUGCUAACUCGAUUUUGGCGAUAUACAGUCAGAGUCCAAGGGAAACCGAUAAGUUAGCCACCUGGGGAGUACGUUCGCAAGAAUG